AGAAGAUUCAAUCUGCUCCUCUCCUCAAGGAGGGGCCAGUCAGGGACAGAGGGGGACGGACAGGAAAUGACCAGGAGGAAAGGAGACUUAGUAAUGCCCGGUGUUGGAGGGAGAAGGAGCGGUGCCCCUGCUCGGGGCUCUGCACGGUGCCCACAGCCAGGGGCGCGUGCACAGGGCUGCUCUGUGGCUUGGCCAGCUGGGCCCGAGCUAUCCCAGUGCCCCCGCUGACACUGGGCGACUCUGAGAGGGCCUGAGUGAGGCAGGUUCUGGGCCCCUGGAAACAUCCACCUCAUCUGGUGCAAAUAAGCAGCUGGAGAAAGAGGCACAAAGUGAAGCCUGAGGCCUCCCUGAAGAAGGUUGUGGAGAUGAUAGAGGACUGGAUGCAGAGACGACGAGGAAGGGCAUCCAGGUGGGGAGGCCAGUGGGAGCAAAUGCUGGGAGGUAGGGUGGGAAUCAGCUGACAGAUGUGUUCAUCGGACACCUCCAUUGAGGCUGCCCGGCCCUGGUACUUUAGGUUCUGGGGAUACAAGGAAGACUUAGGAACGAACCAUCCUGCUCAGGUUGCUCACCGUCCAGUUGGGGAAACCACCGAGAUAUGGAUAUUCACAGAGGUGGAGAGAAAGGGGCUCCCCUGCUUCCUGGCUGUGUGGCCUCAGAGCAAGCACAGCAUCCUCCAGAGUGCAGGCCUGGCAGCCGGGGAGGCUCAUGCUCAGCUGGCCCUCCUGUGUCCCCGCAAACCGCUGGGAGGAGGCAGGCUCUUACCAUGUCCCCACCCAAUGAAGGAACAGCCCGGAAGGAACAGCGACUUGCCUGGAGCUCCAGGGCCUGGGUUUGGCUCCAGAGUCUCAGUUCUCAUCCUCCUCCUCCCGGAGGAGCCAGGGCCUCCUUCCUUCCGUCAGCCUCCGCUCCACGAGUCACUCUCCCCGAGCUGGGACAGCUUGGCCUGAUGUUUCCGAACAAGCCUCACCUCUCUGGCCCCUGGGAAAUUUGUAAUGAUCAUUCCCUCCAGCAGCCUCCUCUUCCUCCUUAUCCCUCCUCUUCCAUGCUCUCCUCCUCCUCCUCCCCAAGGUGGGAUCCACCGGCUGCUCCCCCCCAGGCUCCCCCUCGGGCUCCCACUGGGCCUGUGCUUCCUCAUCAGGUCCCCCAUGACACUGGGGGCUGGAGGGCCAUGACGGUGUCUCUGUCCCCGUGGGUGGCACCAGGCCUGUCACAGGACCUGCCUGAGUCAGCUCGUGGAGAGAUGGCUCCGCGGCCGGCUCUGGCCCUCACUGGCCGUGGAGCUGGGACGGGUCCUGAGCACUCAGGCCUCAGUGUCCUCAUCUGUGGAAGGGGACGACGAUCCUCAUCUCCCAGGAUCGCGGUGGGAUGACGUGGGACGUGUGCGGGAAGUGCUGGGCACAGUGACUGGCACCUGUGACAGUGCUCGGGGUGGACUCCCACCUCCCCCUGCCUCGGCCCGGCUUCUUUCCCACCUGGGCCUCUGCAGGGCUCCUGCCCCCGAUCCUCCCCACCCUCAGAGCCCCGAGUGAGAGGCGUCCCCAGGACCCCAUCUCCUGCCGGGGCGUGUUGGUUGGCACCUCCUAUGGGUUUGCAGUGACCUAGCAGAAGCCCAGCCUCUCUGCCCAGGGGAAGCAUGGAGGCGCCUGGCUUCUCCCGGCCGGACUGGCUGCAGAGGCUGUGGGCUCCGUGAAGAACGAGUAUGUGGGGCCCUUAUUCAAAAAGCUGGAAAAAAAGUGCCAUUAAACACACAGAAAUAUAAAGCUUUUCCCUUUCUGCCGCAGUCUCUCUCUCUCAUCUUCUGUGGUGUAUUUUAUUUCCUAUUUAAUGUGGCUCUAAGUAAAGAAAAAUUAGAAUUUAAAAUUAUUAGCAUGAACUUUACCGUUCAUCUUUAUAUUGUGCAAUGCCAGUUUUAAAUGCAAAUAUAGGAGCUUUUAAUUCGUAUACGGAGUCACGGGAAUUACACAAUUCGUAUUUCAUGGCGCUCGCAGGCCAACGUAUUUCAUUCCUGCAGGAGGAGUGGGAGCAGCACCAAACCAGCUUCACAGCCUUCGUUUGGCUUCCUGCUGCGUGUCCGCUCCCGCCACUCUCCUGGUCUGCUCACCAGUGAGCCAGGAGGGACUGCAAGGAGGGGAACCAUGAGUUGUUUUAUUUUUUCCUUUCCUCCUGCACCAUUUCCAGGGUGAGUGGUUGGCUAAUAUAGGGAAGUGACACAAAAGGAAGGAUCUGGUAAGCUUCCUUGAUCAGGUAUAUGUCUCAGACAACCCCUGACUCCUUUCUGCACUUGCUGAAUGUCCUGGUUAAAAUGGGAAGCCUGGCCUUUCAGGGCUGUCAGUACCCUCCACUCCUUACUCAGUUGUAGAGGUGACACU
rnacentral:lncRNA from 12 species